rnacentral:tRNA from 1 species
GCCGGAGUGGCGAAAUGGCAGACGCAAACGACUCAAACUCGUUCGGGGAAACCCAUGUGGGUUCGACUCCCACCUCCGGCA